UACAGAGGUCCCGAGCGUUUGUUCGGAUUCAUUGGGCGUAAAGGGUGCGUAGGCGGUCUUCUAAGUUUGAUGUGAAAUCCCGGGGCUCAACCCUGGAAUUGCAUUGAAUACUGGAGGACUAGAGUACUGGAGAGGAAACUGGAAUUUACGGUGUAGCAGUGAAAUGCGUAGAGAUCGUAAGGAAGACCAGUGGCGAAGGCGAGUUUCUGGACAGUAACUGACGCUGAGGCACGAAGGCCAGGGGGAGCAAAACGGG
rnacentral:rRNA from 1 species